rnacentral:rRNA from 1 species
AUGUACCGGGGCUAAACAUAUUACCGAAGCUGUGGAGUACACCUUUAGGUGUAUUGGUAGGAGAGCGUUCUAAGGGCGUCGAAGGCAGAUCGUGAGGACUGCUGGAGCGCUUAGAAGUGAGAAUGCCGGUAUGAGUAGCGAAAGACAGGUGAGAAUCCUGUCCACCGAAUGACUAAGGUUUCCUGGGGAAGGCUCGUCCGCCCAGGGUUAGUCGGGACCUAAGCCGAGGCCGACAGGCGUAGGCGAUGGAUAACAGGUUGAUAUUCCUGUACCCGUUGUUUUUGUUUGAGCAAUGGAGGGACGCAGGAGGCUAAGGAAUGCAGACGAUCGGAAAUGUCUGUCCAAGCAGUAAGUCUGAAGAGGAGUCAAAUGCUUCUUUUCUUAAGGACAAGCUGUGAUGGGGAGGGAAAUAAUAGUACCGAAGUUCCUGAUGUCACACUGCCGAGAAAAGCUUCUAGUGAGAAAACAGCGGCCCGUACCGCAAACCGACACAGGUAGUCGAGGAGAGAAUCCUAAGGUGAGCGAGAGAACUCUCGUUAAGGAACUCGGCAAAAUGACCCCGUAACUUCGGGAGAAGGGGUGCUGA